rnacentral:tRNA from 1 species
AGGGGUGUAGCUCAGUUGGUAGAGCAGCGGUCUCCAAAACCGCAGGUCGCGGGUUCGAAUCCUGCCGCCCCUGCCA